GAAGCCACCAACACAACUCCACAGGCAGGUGGGAAUUCAGCAGCUGAAAGGACAUGGCAUUCUGACACACCAUUCAGGUUGUCUGGAAAGCACACAGGUUUUUUUGCCUGGCCUCCAAACUCAGAUGCUCCAAAUUUGCAAGAAGUUAAUCUGCAUGGACAGGCUGCCUUGGGUCAUCAGGGUGCAUGGGGUGAGGCAAACUACAAUUCUGAAUGCAUCAAUAAUAUGAUACACCCUACCAGCCAUAUUUGCAUUGAUUUGGAAAAAAAAAAAAAAAGUAAUUAGAUCAAUUGCAAUAUCCUCUAGUUAUCAACAGGGUAAGUAUGAUGGGGAUCUGCUCUGAUUUAAAA
rnacentral:lncRNA from 1 species